rnacentral:rRNA from 1 species
GAUGAACGCUGGCGGCGUGCCUAAUACAUGCAAGUCGAGCGAACGGACGAGAAGCUUGCUUCUCUGAUGUUAGCGGCGGACGGGUGAGUAACACGUGGAUAACCUACCUAUAAGACUGGGAUAACUUCGGGAAACCGGAGCUAAUACCGGAUGAUAUUUUGAACCGCAUGGUUCAAAAGUGAAAGACGGUCUUGCUGUCACUUAUAGAUGGAUCCGCGCUGCCUUAGCUAGUUGGUAAGGUAACGGCUUACCAAGGCAACGAUGCAUAGCCGACCUGAGAGGGUGAUCGGCCACACUGGAACUGAGACACGGUCCAGACUCCUACGGGAGGGAGCAAUAGGGAAUCUUCCGCAAUGGGCGAAAGCCUGGCGGAGCAACGCCGCGUGAGUGAUGAAGGUUUUCGGAUCGUAAAACUCUGUUAUUAGGGAAGAAAAUAUGUGUAAGUAACUGUGCACAUCUUGACGGUACCUAAUCAGAAAGCCACGGCUAACUACGUG